rnacentral:rRNA from 1 species
AGCAGCAGCCGCGGGAAUACGGAGGAUCCAAGCGUUAUCCGGAAUCAUUGGGUUUAAAGGGUCCGUAGGCGGUCUUGUAAGUCAGUGGUGAAAGCCCAUCGCUCAACGGUGGAACGGCCAUUGAUACUGCAGGACUUGAAUUAUUGGGAAGUAACUAGAAUAUGUAGUGUAGCGGUGAAAUGCUUAGAGAUUACAUGGAAUACCAAUUGCGAAGGCAGGUUACUACCAAUUGAUUGACGCUGAUGGACGAAAGCGUGGGUAGCGAACAGGAUUAGAUACCCCUGUAGUCCCUGUCUCUUAUAA